rnacentral:misc_RNA from 1 species
GAAAUGCGAUAAGUAAUGUGAAUUGCAGAAUUCAGUGAAUCAUCGAAUCUUUGAACGCACCUUGCGCUCCUAGGUAGUCCUUGGAGCAUGCAUGUUUGAGUAUCAUGAAAUCUUCAAAGUAAAUCUUUUGUUAACUCAAUUGGUUUCUACUUUGGUAUUGGAGGUCUUUGCAGCUUCACACCUGCUCCUCUUUGUUCAUUAGCUGGAUCUCAGUGUUAUGCUUGGUUCCACUCGGCGUGAUAAGUUAUCUAUCGCUGAGGACACUGUAAAAGGUGGCCAAGGUAAAUGCAGAUGAACCGCUUCUAAUAGUCCAUUGACUUGGACAAUACUUUUAUGAUCUGAUCUCAAAUCAGGUAGGACUACCCGCUGAACUUAAGC